AGUGAACGAUGGCGGCGUGCCUAAUACAUGCAAGUCGAACGGAGUGGAGCACGUGGGAGUAAUGUAUAGGUAAUCUGCCCUACACUAGAGGAAAACAGUUGGAAACGGCUGCUAAUACUCUAUAGUGUAGGAUGAGGCUAUAUUGUAUCAGCUAGUUGGUGAGGUAAUGGCUCACCAAGGCUAUGACGCAUAACUGGUCUGAGAGGAUGAUCAGUCACACUGGAACUGAGACACGGUCCAGACUCCUACGGGAGGCAGCAGUAGGGAAUAUUGCUCAAUGGUGGAAACCCUGAAGCAGCAACGCCGCGUGGAGGAUGACACUUUUCGGAGCGUAAACUCCUUUUGUUAGGGAAGCGGUACCUAACGAAUAAGCACCGGCUAACUCCGUGCCAGCAGCCGCGGUAAUAC
rnacentral:rRNA from 1 species